rnacentral:rRNA from 1 species
UUGGAGGGCAAGUCUGGUGCCAGCAGCCGCGGUAAUUCCAGCUCCAAUAGCGUAUAUUAAAGUUGUUGCAGUUAAAAAGCUCGUAGUUGAAUUUCGGGAUCAGAUUGUCGGUCCUGCCUCGGUACGCACUGGCAUUAUUGGUUCCUACCUUCUGAAGAACCGCGAUGUCAUUAAUUUGGUGUCGUGGGGAAUCAGGACUGUUACUUUGAAAAAAUUAGAGUGUUUAAAGCAGGCUUACGCUUGAAUACAUUAGCAUGGAAUAAUGAAAUAGGACGUUUGAUUCUAUUUUGUUGGUUUCUAGGAUUGACGUAAUGAUUAAUAGGGAUAGUUGGGGGCAUUAGUAUUCAAUUGUCAGAGGUGAAAUUCUUGGAUUUAUUGAAGACUAACUACUGCGAAAGCACUUGCCAAGGAUGUUUUCAUUAAUCAAGAACGAAAGUUAGGGGAUCGAAGACGAUCAGAUACCGUCGUAGUCUUAACCAUAAACUAUGCCGACUAAGGAUCGGAUGAUGUUAAUUUUUUAAUGACUCAUUCGGCGCCUUACGGGAAACCAAAGUGUUUGGGUUC